UUUUUUUUUUUUUUUUUUUUUUUUUUUUUUUGCCUUGCCCAUGACAUGUGGAAUUCCCGGGCCAGGGAUCAAACCUGUGCCACAGUGGCUACCCAAGCCAGUGUGGUGACAAUGCCAGAUCUUUUACCAUCUGUGCCACGAGAGAACGCCUACAUUUUCUUUUGAAUACAUACUUUUUCUCUUUUAAAAGGUCCUGUAUUUUAAAAGUAGAUAAUACUGCACUACAGUUGAAUCUCUGACAUUGUUCUGGCUUCUUACUUGCUUCAUCUAUUUAUUUCUUUUAUUGUUUUUUAGGGCUGUACCCUUGACAUAAGGAAGUUCCCAGGCCAGGGAUUGGAUCUGAGCUGCCAUUGCAACCUACACCACAGCUGAUGCAAUGCCAGAUCCUUUAUCCCACUGCUCCGGGAGGGAAUUGAACCCAUGCCUCCAGAACGACCCAUGCACUGCAUUCUUAAUCCACUGUGCCCCAGCAGGAACCCCUGGCUUCUUCCAUUUAAAAAAUUAGGCCUUCUUCUGUGCUAAAGUGCCCAAGCUUUUCUGAGCCUCGGGAGAGCCACCAGCUGAGCUGACACCACAUCCCUGCAGGAAGGACCCACUCAUUAGCAAUCGAGAGGAAGUUCUGAUAUCGCCGGUGACACUGUCUCCUUGCACAGUCCUGCUUAUUGGAUUAGGAGAUUUUAAUCUGUCUCUUUAUUGGAUUUUCCUCCCGAGGCUCUUUUGAGGCAGGCAUGGCAGGCAUUUUCUUUAAGGAGGAAGAAAUGAACCAUCAAAGAGAGUGGGUCGCAAAGGAGGAACAGGGCAGAGCUGGCGGAGAACCCACCUUCUCCAGCCACUGGUCCUCAACCCCUCAAGCCAUCCUUCCUGCUGAAGGAAACAGGCAUUUCCUUCAUCCUGCAUUAGAGUGAAAACUCUGACACCUCUGCAAAAAUACCUAGUUUCAUAUUAAUCCACACAUGAUUACAACUUGGCUUGCUCCUUAGAAGAACAAUCCGUCUCUUAGAUGUGCUCAGAACCUGCCAGCUUUGUGACUGUUGGGCAGAUGACUCUGAUCUUUUGGCUUCGCAACCCUGAAGCACCGGCUGAGGAAGGAAUUUCUGAAAGUGAUUCUUUUCGUUUUCUGAGUGUGAUUCCUCAUGUACCUUUUUUUAACCUCUUUUUUUUUUUUUCUUUUUUUCAUUUCUUUAAAUAAAAGGGGAGGAGUUCCCGUCUGGCGCGCAGAAAUGAAUCCAACCAGUAUCCAUGAGGACUCAGGUUUGCGUCCUGGCCUCGCUCAGUGGGUGAAGAAUAAGGAUCUUGGGUUGCUGUGGUGUAGGCCAGCGGCUGUGGUGUAGGCCAGCAGCUGUGGCUCCGAUUGGACCCCUAGCCUGGGAUCCUUCCAUAUGCCACGGGUGCAGCCCUAAAAAGCAAAAUAAAUAGACAAAUUGAUAAAUAAAUGGGGAAAUUUUUUAAAUAAGAUAAAAAAAAAAAAGAGAUGCUGAUGAAAGUGUGUAAAUUUUUUCUCUCUGACUGGUCUAAAUGAUAGGUUCCUACAACAGAUUUCUGAAUACCCGCUUUAGUCAGCAUCCUAAAUCGCUUUUCCCCCUCUGAGUGAUACUUUGUUCCCUGCUGUUCACACACAAAGUGCUUGAGCUUCGGUCCCAAGGUAUGGGCUCCCCCAUUCCCAAUUUUUAGGAGCUAUGAAUAAGCUACAGAACCACUGGAUUUGGAUAUGCUGAGAAUCAAGUUUUGGGAGAAGAAAUAAGAGGUCUCUCAUAAUUUCUCUAUCUUCACUUGUUAUAAUCUCAGUCUCUUUUGGCAGAUUAAAAAAAAAGUAGAUUUUCUUGUCUGUACUGCAAAAUACAGUAUCACGUUCAAAAGAAGGGAAGAAAGGAUUUUAAGGUGAGUCAUCAAGAUAUUGGCUUUCCCAUUUUAUGACAUGAGAAGACCCACAGCCGCUCGACAAAUAGAGGCUCUCACCUUUGCACACUUGCGUUAGCACAAUGGCAUCCAGGAUAAUGCUUACCUGUUCAGGUAUUAACUUCAGCGAGGGAGUCAGUGCUUUGGUAUUUGGGUGUAUUUCUGUUGGCUCGAGAACAUACUGGAAGUCCCCAAAUACUUUUCCAUUGGAUUACCUCAGUUCUCUGCCACAACAGCCUGGAUCCAUUUCACAAGCCAAGAUAAGCAAACGCACAAUUAGAGUUAUGAAGUAGUCUGCUCAUUCAGAGUAUCAGCUCUUACCUUGAACUUGGCCAAGCUGUCAUCCUUGCUAUAUGGAGAUGUACAAUCUAAUGAAAUUAUAUGUUGUAAAUAUCUGUACUUAAUAUAUCCUUUCAAGCCUAUUCAGCAUUAAACAGCAUUUAUAACAAAAAAAAAAUCCUUUGCUGCCAAUGAAAACAAAGGUAUGUUCAUAUAUUUGAAUAUAAAUCUCUUGUGCAAAUUUCUGACAUUGUAGAGAAGAAGUGAUAUAAUCCGGAAAGAAAAGAAUCUUCAGGUGCUUCGUGGCUAGACUGGAACCCACAGGACAGCCUAACACUAUUCCAAAUCCAAUAAAAUGGAAAUGGUAAAUGAAUGACAAUUAUGUGGUGUUUAUGAAAUACAGGACACACCGAAUAUCUUUCUCAUUCUUCAUACCAAAACAUCUCUUUAUAAUUACUUGUUAAGAAAUUUAGAAAACAAUAGUAAUUGUGGAGAAGGUGACAAUGAGAGCCAAUCUGUGGGUGAUUAUUAAACACCUAGUAUAAACAGAUACAUUUUCCCCUCUAAAAAUAUUGAAUGGUUAUAAUUACAGUUUAUAGGGAUGAAGGACUCUUCUCAGUAAAUGAAGAUUCAAGUUGGUGAAUCACUGCAAAAGUACAUGCCAGGGAAACAAGUGAAUUUAUUAAAUUAAUAUGAAUAUACUCAGCUUACCCAAUGAUGUCCUGGUAGCUAGAAAAGGAUGUGGCUGAAGAACAAGGAUGAUAAGCCCACAGGAGAUAUGGGCUUCUACCUUUUCGGGGAUCUUGUGCAAAUAUUUAUCCAUCCCAAGCCUCAGUUUCCUUAACUGAAGAAGAGUGGUGGCCUCAUAGGUCUAAUAAAAGGAUUAAACAUUUUAAAAAACAAUAUAAAUUGCAGAAUAGAAUACCUAGCCCACAGUAAGUAUGCAUACAUUUGAACACUUAUUAAACCCUAACCCUAGCCUUGCUCCGGAGUUAAGGAUCCAGCUUUGCUGUGGCUGAGGUAUCGGCUGGUAGCUGCAGCUCCAAUUUGACCCCGAGCCUGGGAACAUCUAUAUGCCACGGGGGCAGCCCUACAAAGUAUCCCCAUCAUCAUCUCAUUUGGAUAGCUUCCUGUCCCACUUGGGAGUCACGCCGAACUUCCCGGGCAAUAAAAAGCAGCCCCAUUUCCAGAGUAACUAGAGAUGCUGAGAGACACCAGCCUACCUCCGUGGCCAGGCUCCCCACCCACGGCUGCAGGAGGUUUCAUCUUUCUCCUACCCUGGUCUCUGAGCAGGUCUGGGCAGGCCUGGGCCCAGCUGUGAUGUCUACAAAGGAAAUUCUCUGCGCCCUCUUCCUGCCAGACCCCACGGAGAAGAGAGAAUAAGGGCAACCCCAGGCUGCCCGGGAGAUGCAUAGGCUCGCUUUGGCGUGAUGCUCCAUCCCCUACGCAUGCCACACGCGCUUUUUCACCAGCCGACAGCCUGUCUUCUCCCUGAGAAUGAGCAGGAAUCAUUUUUAGAUGGAAGAGUUCACGGAAGCUGUUAGACAUCACCUGUGUGAUGUAGUCGUUUUACUUGGGCUUUGACUGGUUUUCCUGCAAAACGCAAUGUUAGAAAACACUUUCAACACAGCCCAGCAUUUUGCGAAGGGUGUCAGUAGUUUUCAGAAAGUCACAGAUACGAUCUGAGCAUGGUCUUGCAAGGGGCGGGUGCUUUCUAAGUAUUGGUUGAAUGACGCAAAUGAC
rnacentral:lncRNA from 1 species